rnacentral:sRNA from 1 species
AUCUUACCCCCAGAGACUUUAUGUACACUGUUAAAUAUGAGAGAGCGAUGAUUCUCUCAUCUGAUGAAUUAAAUGUCAACUCUGAUACUCCCGUUGGCAAGAAGAAUCUUGUCAACAACUUUGGAUUCCUGAGCUGUUCUCAAGCAUUUGUCUUCAGAGUUACUAGGCUAAUACUUGGAGACUACUUCAACACAUGACAUCAUUAUCACGGUAGCCAGGCGCAACAGGCGAAACCAGAGGACACAGCACAGUGGCGAGGUCUAUAAGGAAAGCCAACAACACAAGGAAAGUAGAUGCACGUGCAGCUUCAGGAUGGACAGACAUGGAGUGGUAGAGACCCACCUAGCCAGGCAGAUCAAUGGAACCAACCCUGUGCUCAUCGGAUUGAGAGAUGUCACAGCUAUAGUCAGGAGUUCUGGGAGCAGAGCUACCAUCUAGAAACAAGGCAGCAAUCAGCCACAAACCACCAUGGCAUCUCAUGACUUCCCUGGUGCUUAGAUGUUCAUUUGCUGGGGAUUUGGGGAUUUUCUGGUGCUAAAAGAAAUGUUUCCCUUUUCUUUGAAGGAGACUCUAACUUAAUAAAUAAAAUAUUUAAAUAUUUCCUUUUGUAGAUUAUUUGCAUUGUGAGAAAAGCCUGUUUCUGCUUGCAGCUGAGUUCCUGGAUACCUUCUGCCUUUGUGUAAAUGCACACAUUGUUUGCCUGGUGACUAAUGUGAUCCCCUUUAUUUAGCACUCACAGAUUUUCUUUUUUGGUUCUUUUUUUUUUUUUCCGGAGCUGGGGACCAAACCCAGGGCCUUGCGCUUCCUAGG